AACGAACGCUGGCGGCGUGCUUAACACAUGCAAGUCGAACGCGAAAGGGACCUCGGUCCUGAGUAGAGUGGCGCACGGGUGAGUAACGCGUAAGUUAUCUACCCCUCCAUCUGGAAUAACUCACCGAAAGGUGUGCUAAUACCGGAUACGUUGGAAACAAGAAAGGUGGCCUCUAUUUAUACGCUACCGUGGAGGGAUGAGCUUGCGUACCAUUAGCUAGUUGGUAGGGUAAUGGCCUACCAAGGCAACGAUGGUUAGCGGGUCUGAGAGGAUGAUCCGCCACACUGGAACUGGAACACGGACCAGACUCCUACGGGAGGCAGCAGUGAGGAAUAUUGCGCAAUGGGGGAAACCCUGACGCAGCGACGCCGCGUGGGUGAUGAAGGCCCUUGGGUCGUAAAGCCCUGUCAGGAGGGAAGAAUGAGCAGGCGGUUAAUACCCGCCUGAAGUGACGGUACCUCCAAAGGAAGCACCGGCUAACUCCGUG
rnacentral:rRNA from 1 species